ensembl:lncRNA
CCCGAAUCUCAGCCCUGAGUGGGUGCAGUGCCUCCUGCUGGGGGCCGGCAUGGCAACCUCUGCCGCUGGAGCAGUGAGAGGACAGGGUUUGCACGGAUGCCUGUAAUCCUAGAGCUAUGGGAGGCUGAGGCAGGAGGAUCACAAGUUUGAACACAGCCUGGGCAACUUAGUGAGACCCUGGCUCAAUAUAAUUAUCAAAUUUGAAGAGGGCUGGGGAUAAAGCUCAGUACAAAGGUCCUGGGUUCAAUCUUCAGUACUGCAAAAUAAGAAAAAGAAAGAAAUGAAGGAAGAAAUGAAAGAAAGAGAAAGAAGAAAAGCCAAUCAUUCAUCAUAGUUGCUGUAGGCCUAGGAGGAAGGCAGGGUGUACACGAGUUGCUCCGGGAAGUGUGCAUCUUCCAUAGGAGCCAGCGCAGCCUUCGGGGCCUCUGCAGAGCCCAUGCCUGUCCUACCUCUCCCCUCACGUUGUCUUUGGUUUCCAGUGGGCGAUGCAUGGACAAAUUCGGACGCAAAGCUCCACCUGAGCACAGCCCUCUGCCUGUCCCUCGAGGUCCCAGCCCUUCCUGUCUGGGCUGGACAGAAAGGGGGUGCAGCUCGACGCACUGAAGCCCGGGGAGGGAGGACAGCGCUGCCCACGGCUCUUGCAUGAGGGUGCUCUGCAGUCACACGUGAUCACAGCCCGCAGCGCACGAGGCCCUGCUGCCAUAGCUGCCUCUGAACACAUAUGUCUCUCACAGGUGCUCACAUGGGGGUAAUCAGCUUCGCCAUCCCUGGAGAGCUUUGCUGUCUCUGUCUCGAACCUUCCAACUCCUCUCUUAUGCGUGUUGUGAAAUGUGCAGUGCAUGGUUCUGACUGGCGUCGCCCUCUCUGCCUGGGCCUUGGACACAGCCCACCGCGUCCCUGGCCGUGGAUUCCCGGAGGCCCAAGGAGUAAAGCGGGCCGUUUCACACAUGAGAGACAUUUGUGUUUCAUUUUCUGUGAACUAUCUGCUUGUAUCCCUUGGCACUUUAUUCUAUUAGAUGGCUGGUCUUGUGCUUAUUGACAUGUAGAAGUUCUUUAUCUACUAGACAAAUUAGCACUUGAUAAUAUGAAUUCAAAUAUUUUGAUCCAGUAAGUCAUUUGUCUUCUCUCUUUGUUUGAUUCCUUUUUGUAAUUCAAAAUUUUCAGAUUUUGUUAUAGAAGGUUAGGCAAAGAUUUCUUGAGGGUGACACCCAAAGCAGGAGUCAUAAAAGAAAAAAAAUGAUAAAUUAACUGUCAUCAAAAUUAAGAACUUUUGCCCUUGAAAGUGUGCUAUUUGGGCAGUGAAAAGACACACUGCAGCCUGGGAGGAAAUGUGCGCAGACUAUCUCUGAUAAGAAGGUGUGCAUUCAAUGUAUAGAGAACCCUUAAGCUCAAGAAUAAAAUGACAAAUGACCCAGUUUUUAAAAUGGACAAAAGAUUUCAAAAGACAUUUCACCGGAGAAGAUGUAAUAAUGGCUAAUGAGCACCUCAAAGAGUCAUCAGUCACUCGGAAAGUGCAGAAGGGCUGCCCUAGAGCCUCACACCCACUUGGGGUGGGGGGAUGCAAUAAUAAAACAUAAAACAAUUGGGCAACGACACGUGUUGGGGAGGAGGUGACGAAAUCAGAAGCCUCCUGAGCUGCUGGCGCUGGGGGUUUGCAGGGAACAGGGCAGCUGCUUAGGAAAACACUGGGGCAAUUCCCAUAAAAGUUACACCUGGCUUCCCACACGGCUCAGCAAUUCCAGACGUUCACAAAUACAGCACUCGGAUGAAGCUGAUGUCCAACAGCAACUUCUACUUGUGUGUGACCGUCAGCAGGGCUCUGAUAGCUCAGACCACCACACGCCCCAUGUCCAUCAACAGGUGAAUGACACAGAAAGCACAGAGUGCCCAACAGUAGGAUGCUAUUCAGGAAGAAAAGGGAACGGAUUCGUGACAGGUGCGACCCGCAAGAACAUCUCAGAAUAAUUCUGCUGCAUGAAGAGUAGGAUUUCGUCUAUAGAACACCCUAGAAAACCCACAUUGGGCUUUGGCGACAGGCAGUUAGCCUGCCUGGACCACAAAGGCAGGAGGAGGCCUGGGAGUGACAGACGAGUUUAUUAUCUGGACUGCACAGGUUUUGCGAGUUUGUGCAUUUGUCCAGAUGAGCAAAUCAUUCGCUACCUACCUGGGGAUAUUGCGCGUCAAAUACCCCAACGAAGCUGUUCAAAGUGGGGAAAUUACACGUGUCAGCAAUCUUUUCCUUUCUGGAUCAUACAACUUCUUUAUGACUACGAACAAACCUCUCCCUGUCCCGGAGCUUCUGUGGGCAAAGGCUGCUUCGGUACAACAGCAAAGACAGUAAAGGCGCCCCUCCGCCCCUGCCUCACUCAUCUGUCUGAAGUUGUUUGGGUACAUCAUACAAAGUAAAACCCAGCUUUUUUACCCCAGUUGGCCCAAUAUUUCUUGAAAAAAAGGAUCUACACUUAUUUGAAAUGUCAUCUUUAUCAGAUAGUAAAGCCCUGUAUGUUUGAUUUUGUUUCUGGACUUCUUUUUGGGUCCUUUUGUCUAUUUUUGUGUCAACACUGUAUUUUUAAC